rnacentral:lncRNA from 1 species
CGAUUUCCAUCAUUAAAUUCAAAAUUCCCAAUCUGAAACCCUAGACCUAAAAGACGAACUUCAAUUCGUCUGAUUUCUCCCUUCGUUCUUUCAAAUCUGAGCAUGCAUGGUUGAUAUCUUCAGCUUCAUCAUCAUUAUUUUUUUUUCCAAAGGUCAAACGCAGUGACCUCUAGACAUUAGAGUCUAACCACUAGUUUGAAGACUUCAACGGUCGACCUUCUCUCUUCUCAAGUAAAAUAUUCUCACUGUUUUCCCCUCUAUUCUUCCUGAUUUCACUCAGUUUUCUCACAUCAUCAACUCAUCAUCAUCUUUCACUAUUGAUUUUGAAUUUUGUUGAACCCUAGAGGCAUUGAAUACCACUAUAAAAGGAGCUUUCAAUGCUCUCACCUAACAAUAUAAAAUACACCACGAAAUCACUUAACAAACAAAGAAGAUCAAUUUUAGUCUUGAGUAGUAAAAACUCAAGCUAGGGUUUUCUAACUAGCUUCUAAUUUUAUUCUAAUUCUUAGCCUUACACUGG